UUGCCGCUCCGCUGCGACCUGGACCGGGAGGCUGCGGUGGACGAGGGUGGGACCACCCCCCGCCGGUGGUGAUGCUGCCGGCAGCGCUGAGCAGGGGCGCCUCCGCCGCAGCCACAUUCUGAGUGCCAGGAAAAGGGGCGACAGACCACACGCGCUCGCCGGUUCACCAAACCGAAAGCCGAAAAUGACGCUCCGGGGGGACGGUUCAAGUCACUGGUUUCUGCCCUAAACUUUCCUGGAAUUGUGCUGAGUACGGCACGUGCGGCAGCUGCUUCGUUCAGUUCCCUUCGGCUGGGAGAGACCUGAUUCCUGCUUUGGGCCCAGUGGCUCACGGAGAGCCAAGGAAUGAGCGAUUCCCCUGCGUCCCCUCCCUACUGAACCAUCUUCCUACCAUUGGGAUUUGGAAAAGUGAGCCUGAGCCAUCAGUGUGCUUUCUUUUUGGACCUUCUUGGCGAUGAUGCGCUGUCACCUGCGGAGACCACCUUUUGUGUUCUUCUGUGGCAUUGACCUUCUGCAAGGGGAUUUAGGACAGAAAUUGAAAAGAAAAUGUUCUUUUGAGCCUUGAGCUGGAGAACGAUGAUAUUGGGUAGAAGUAAGAUAUGACGAGCACAGACAAUUUGAGUACGGUGUUAUUUAACAAGGACAUUUCUAUCUCCACAGAAAGUCACCGCUCGAAGGAAACCAGUUCUGACUAUUCUGUGAGGAGUCUGGCCACCCAGCUGUCCACUUUCCCAAAGGCCUGGCAGAGAUGGUGGUUAAAGUGGCCCGUCUAAAUCCUCAGGAGAAUCAGCACGGAAUUAGAGGACAAUGAUCUACCCUAACCAAAGACUCGAGUGACAUGUGAAGUCUAGCAUAAAUGUAUUCAGAAAAUGUCCAGAUUAUUCUAGGAGCUAUAGGUCAGUGUGACAGAGACGCAAACAAAAAAACAGGUAUUUUAAGUUCACAGCUUAGACAAGGGGAAGGGAGAUGUUGUUGUUUUUUCCUGUUCAAUCCAACUUUAGAGUUUCACGUGGGAAAAAGGAUAAUUAGGAGUUAGAAAUUGUUAUUGCCAGAAAAGAGCUGUAAAUGCUGAAGCAGAAACUGGCCCUCCCCUUGAGGAGUAAAUAAACCUCAGCUGCUGUGGAUAAGAAUACUGAUAUCAAUCCUCCCAAGUGGUGAGGGUGGGCAGGGAAGGGUGAAUGUACACCUUACCCUGAGGAGCAAAAGCAAACCUGUUCAUGAUAUAUUUUUGAAAGUCGCAUUAUUUGAAAUAUUUAUUAGACAUGGUUAGUAAAGUUGAGCUGCUUUGAUUUUUUUCUCCUAUUCACCACUAUACAAACAAGAAUUAAGCUACUUCUAAAAUCUUAGACAAGGUGGGGGGGUGGGUAUUAACUCGUCAUUUAAGAAAGAGAUAAUGCGUGAAUGUAAUAGCUGAUAUUUAUUGUGUAUGUGCUACAUGUGUCAGGACAUGGGAUUGCACAUUUUAUUUCAAUUACUUCAUUGGAUUCUUACAACAAAUCCCUUGAGAUAGAUAAUAAUAGCCUCUUCAUUUCACAGGUGAAAGUUGAACCUUAGAAUUGAACAAAUCACUUCCGAAGCUCAUGUAGCCAAUAAGUGAUGAUGUAUGUCUUGACACAGGUAUGAUUAACAACUAAAUCCAUGAUUUUUGCCAUCAUACUCACAGAAAAAAGACAACUGAAAUUAUAGCCUGACUCUUGAAGUAGGAAAAAAGUUGUGUAUGUUUAUGCAUCUUCUAAUUAAUGAUAGUUAACACAUUGAUAGAUGGCCAAUGUAUAGAUUAAACUGUAUCCAAAUGCUCACUUAAUAAUAAAACCAAAGAAAUAAAAUAGAAUUUAGUC